rnacentral:rRNA from 1 species
UACGGAGGAUCCGAGCGUUAUCCGGAUUUAUUGGGUUUAAAGGGUGCGCAGGCGGGAGAUUAAGUCGGCGGUGAAAUUUUGCAGCUCAACUGUAAAAGUGCCUUCGAAACUGGUUUCCUUGAGUGUGGAUGAAGUAGGCGGAAUUUGUGGUGUAGCGGUGAAAUGCAUAGAUAUCACGAGGAACUCCGAUUGCGCAGGCAGCUUACUAAGCCAUAACUGACGCUCAUGCACGAAGGCGUGGGGAUCAAACAGGAUUAGAUA